AGGACCACACAUUUACACUUUCCCUCUCUCUCUCUCUCCCUCUCUCCCGUUGACCCUCUCUUUCUCUCUCUUCCCUCUCGGUUCUUCUCCAUUUUCGUACUGUACGUACGUACGAACGAAACUCAACCAACCUAUCUCUUCACGGAUCAUGGUUGUGAAGACCAUUUUCAAGUUCCUUACGAGCCCAUGAACCCAGUGAUACUAUUAUUUGGACGUGAAACCUUGAAAAACCCGAGAAACCAUAACCUCCAAUUUGAGGUACUGUUCAUGCACACGUAAAUGUGUAGUUUUCUGAGAGUUUUGAAGUUAUAGGGAGCUUUAGAUCGUCUUCACGAGGCUUGGAGAAGAAAAAUGAAGUGAUUUGGACGUCGGGAAGCUCAGGAAUAGGGAGUUGCAGGUUUAGUCGGAACAUCGAAGGAUUUUUCGACGAGUUCCAUCGGUUUUAGGACGAGAUAUGAAGGUUUUCGUGAUUUUCCAGUUUUCGGUGAAUGGCGACGGCGACCGGCAAGGCUAACCGGAGAGGAAGAUAGAAUAUUCCUUCAAAGUUGACGGAAUAUUUUGACGCCGUAAGGUAGAAUUAACAGUUUCUGUUACUUUUUAACGGAAUAUUCCUAACGGGGUUAAGGGAUUCCAAUAGGGUCCCUGCGUGUGGCCGCGUGUGUUGCCGUGCCCUUGUCGGAGCGUGGUGGCAUGUGGGACGUCGGAAAAAUUUUCUAAAAAUAUGGGGAUGUUGAGGUUGUGUAGAUCACAUUGGUAUAUUCAAACAUCCCAUUUGAGCAAUGUAUGAGAAGUUAUUAGCUAGUAUUCGUUAUGUGCUUUAAAUUAACGUUUUUAUAGUUGUUUCGCAUAUAGGGGAGACUUAUCCCGAGGACGAGCGCGGUCAAGGGCGACUCGGGGGCUACGACUCUUUGACAUACCAGUGAGUGGGCUUUUGGUUUUCAGUAUAUACUUAUAUACUUGAUAUUUUCCCAGAAAAUGCGUUUAAAUGAAAGUAUGCCUUGAAAUGCCAUGCAUAUAAAUUUAUGUUCAAUAUAUGAAUUAGUAUAUGAUGCAUACUAUAUAAUUGUGGUGAUGUGGACACUCAGGUAAGUCCAAGUGAGUUUAUGAAUUGUAAAUGUGAAUAAUGAUUAUGAUUAAUUGAGAAGUAUAGAGCUCAUAAACCUGCACCUCGAUGUUCGUGAUUAGUCAGAGAUAUGACACAUGCUUGUAUAUAAUGUCACCUCCUGCACCCUAUGCUCACAUUGGAUCCAAUACAGACCAUUAUAGGUGAUUCCAACUCGUAGAUGACUAGCGAUUUAUCGCACAGCUAUCAUGAGAGCGUAGUAUUGAGCAUAAUUAUAUUACACCCAGUCUUGUUGUACAGACCUUUUCAGUGGUUCCAACUUGUGUGCAGUGUAGUGCCGUAUAGGUCAUUUGCAGUGACUCUGGUUAGAUUGACUAAUGAGCUAUGAAUGCAACCGUACAGACUUCUGCAGGGAUUCCGGCUAAUGUGUUAUUUUCCAUGAAUUUACUUUCACAUGAGUUACUUAUCUUGUUUAUAUCUUGGCAUGACAUACUUAUGAUUAUGAAUAUGUGUAGCAUGAUUUGAAUUGAUAUAUAUAGAUAUAUGUAUACGUUUAUAUUCUAUUUCUAGGAAAAAGUAUACAUGUUUUACGGCGAGGGGUUAGAGCACUUGAAAGUUAAAUGUGUUCUUAAAACCCUUGUUUUUGCCCACUCACGUUUUCUGUUUUGCGCCCCUCCAGGUUUUAGGUAGAAUUGCUGUUGGUGGCAUUGAGGAUCUCGAUGGUUCUGAUAGAAUAAAAUAUUCGUAGGAUAUCUUCUGGUACUAUAUAACUAGUACUUGUCCUACUGGACUGCACCUAGAUUUUCUAUGCUCUGAUUAGGAGUAUUUACUCUUGUAUCUCACUCCUAGCACUUUCCUGCUUAUUAGUGCACAUUAGUACCUUUCGGUUUUUAUUUAUUCGUAU
rnacentral:lncRNA from 1 species